rnacentral:lncRNA from 1 species
GUUGAAAAUCUCGAAAGAGGCGACCUAGGCAAAAGUUAGGACGUAAAAUAAAAAUCUACCCAACCUGAAUUACGGUAUGACUUGAUCAUCUUCACCGAAGUACGUAGGCAGCUUAGAGUUUCAUUCUAAGUUCAGUCGCAUAAGUUCAAAGUUGAAAUAUUUAGGCACUCCAAAUCUCAAAGUUGAAGUCUUAAAGUCCGUCGGUCUUCAAGUUGAAGUCUUCAAAUCCGUUGAUCUUCACGUUGAAAUAUUUAGGCCCUCCAAGUCUCAAAGUUGAAGUCUUCAACUCCGUCCGUCUUCAAGAUGAAGUCCUCAAAUUCGCUGAUCUUCAAGAUGAAUAUUUAGGCCCUCCAAGUCUCAAAGUUGAAGUCAUCUUCAAGUUGAAAUAUUUAGGCCCUCCAAGUCUCAAAGUUGAAGUCUCCAUCGGUCUUCAAGUUUUAGUAUUCAAAUUCGUCAGUCUUAAAGUUGAAUUGUUUAAGCCCUCCGAAUCUUCCAGUUGAUCUGUAAAGUCCGCCAAAUCUCCAAUGUUUUCCAAGUGUUCAAGUUGAUGUCGUCUUCAAGUGGAAGCUUUAUAACUUUCCAAUCUUCAGGUGGACAUAUAAGUCCCUUUGCACCUUAAGCUGGCCUAUUUGCGGGUUUGUCCUUAAAAGGAACUGUAACUUUCCAAUCUUAAGGUGAACAUAUAAGUCCCUUUGCA